GCUUGCGGCCACACUGGCCUGAGUACGCCUGAUCUCGUCCGAUCUCGGAAGCUAAGCAGGGUCGGGCCUGGUGAGUACUUGGAUGGGAGACCGCCUGGGAAUACCAGGUGCUGUAAGCU
ensembl:rRNA 5S_rRNA 5S ribosomal RNA